AUUAAUUACGAAAGCUGUAGCCCCUUCGGGGGCUAUUGCAUCCACCCUUUGUCUAUGUGUACCUCUUGUUGUUUCCUCGGCAGGCUUGCCUGCCGCCAGGAACCCCCUAAACUCUUGUAUUUACAGUAUUAAAAUCUCUGAUAACUAUUUAAAUUAUUACAACUUUCAACAAUGGAUCUCUUGGUUCUGGCAUCGAUGAAGAACGCAGCGAAAUGCGAAAAGUAGUGUGAAUUGCAGAAUUCCGUGAAUCAUCGAAUCUUUGAACGCACAUUGCGCCCCUCGGUAUUCCGUGGGGCAUGCCUGUUCGAGCGUCAUUUACACCCUCAAGCUCUGCUUGGUGUUGGGCGUCUGUCCCGCUUUACGCGCGGACUCGCCCCAAAGUCAUUGGCAGCGGUCGUGCCAGCUUCUCGCGCAGCACAUUUGCGUUUCUUGAAGCUCGGUGGAUCAGCAUCCAGUAAGCUCUUUUUAUGACUUGACCUCGGAUCAGGUAGGGAUACCCGCUGAACUUAAGCAUAUCAAUAAGCGGAGGAAAAGAAACCAACUGGGAUUGCCCUAGUAACGGCGAGUGAAGCGGCAAUAGCUCAAAUUUGAAAUCUGGCUCCUUUUAGGGGUCCGAGUUGUAAUUUGCAGAGGGUGCUUUGGCGUUGGUAGCGGUCUAAGUUCCUUGGAACAGGACAUCGCAGAGGGUGAGAAUCCCGUUUGUGGUCGCAUGCCUUCGCCGUGUAAAGCCCCUUCGACGAGUCGAGUUGUUUGGGAAUGCAGCUCUAAAUGGGAGGUAAAUUUCUUCUAAAGCUAA
rnacentral:rRNA from 1 species